ACAACACAAAUCUCUUGUUGACCUAAGUAUGUUUACCAAUAAAUUUUCUAGUUCUCUUCCUCCACAGAUGAACAAUAUUACACGUUUGAGAACUUUGCAAUUGUGUGAAAAUAGAUUCACUGGCCCUCUACCAGAGGACACAUGCAGUGGUGGACUACUUGAAUGUCUUGUAGUUGAAGACAAUUAUUUUAAAGGUCCUAUACCGAAAAGCAUUAAAAAUUGCACCAGCUUGUUGAGAGUCAGGCUUGAAAGAAAUCAAUUAACUGGAAAUAUAGCAGAAGGUUUUGGCGUAUACCCUCACCUCAACUACAUUGAUUUGAGUAAUAACAAAUUUUUUGGUCAGAUUUCUCCGAAUUGGGGGCAAUGUCGGAAUUUAACAAGCUUAAAAAUUUCCAAUAAUAAUAUUUCUGGUGAGAUUCCACUUCAGCUUGCAGAUGCAACUCAACUCCGUGUGCUUGACCUCUCAUCAAAUCAUCUGUCUGGGGAGAUUCCAAAAGAACUAGGAAACUUGAAGUUGCUACUUGAUCUUAUUCUAAACAAUAAUCAGCUGUCAGGUGAAAUUCCGUUUCAAAUCAAAAUGCUAUCCACACUCCAACAGCUCAACUUUGCAAGAAAUGAUCCUAGUGGAUUAAUAACUAAACAGCUUGGAGAUUGCUUCAAUUUACUGUUUUUGAAUUUCAGCGGCAACAAUUUUUCUGGCAGAAUUCCUCCUGAGAUGGGUAAUUUACUCUCACUGCAAUCUAUUGAUUUGAGUCAAAAUUCAUUGAUUGGAGGGAUACCACAACAACUUGGGAAGUUGCAGCGGCUAGAGAUUUUGAAUCUCUCCCACAACAAGAUAUCUGGUUCAAUUCCAGUUGCUUUUGAUGCUAUGCUGAGCUUGACAACUGUGGACUUAUCUAACAAUGAAUUAGAAGGCCCCAUUCCUAAUGUCAAAGCCCUUCAUGAGGCUCCAUUUGAGGCAUUCAGAAAUAACAAAGAUUUGUGCGGAAGGGCCUCUGGUUUGAAAGCCUGUCCCACAUUAGAGAGCCACAAUCUAAAUGACAAAGGAGGCAGCAAAAUUGUUGUUAUAAUUCUGGUUCCUGUUUUAUGCACACUGUUUCUCACAUUCAUCAUUGUUGGUUUUAUAUAUACAUGUUGCCCAAGAGUGUAUAAAAGAGGCAACAAGGUACAGGAGGCGGAAAAUAAAAAUCCUUUUGCAGUAUGGAGCUAUGAUGGGAAAAUGGUGUACCAAAGCAUUGUCGAAGCAACAGAAGGAUUCGACUCCAAGUUUUGCAUUGGAGUGGGGAGAUCCAGAACUGUCUACAGAGCUAUGCUGCCAGGAGAAAAGGUUGUCGCUGUGAAGAAACUUCACCAGCAUUUGGAAAGUGAAAUUGCCAAUUCAAAAGCAUUUGAAAGUGAGAUUCAAGCUUUAACAGAAAUAAGGCAUCGCAACUUUGUGAAGCUUCACGGUUUUUGCUCAAAUAAUUAUCACUCACUGUUGGUUUACGAGUUCUUGGAAAAAAGGAGCCUUGAAAUUCUGCUGAAGAGUGAUGAACAAGCAGUGGCAUUCGACUGGAUGAAGAGAGUAAAUGUUGUGAAAUGUGUGGCAAAUGCUUUGUCUUAUAUGCACCAUGGAUGCUCAUCUCCUAUAGUUCAUCGUGACAUAUCAAGCAAGAAUGUUCUGCUAGGCUCAGAAUAUGAGGCUCACGUGUCUGACUUUGGCACUGCUAGGAUUCUGAAGCCUGAUUCAUUUAAUUGGACCUCAGUUGCAGGCACAUUGGGAUAUAUAGCUCCAGAGUUUGCUUUCACAAUGAAGGUGAAUGAAAAAUGUGAUGCAUAUAGCUUUGGAGUGUUAGCAUUGGAAACAAUCAUGGGAAGUCAUCCAGGCGAUCUCAUCUGAUCUUUUUCAUUGCCGUCAUCAGCUUCAGAGCCAUCAGUUCAUCAAUCAUUAUUGAAGGAAAUGUUGGACAAUCGACUAACACCUCCAAGAAGUCGAAUGGCUAGAGAAAUAGUCUGUAUCAUGAAACUAGCAUUUUCGUGUUUGCAUUUGAAUCCACAAUCUCGUCCAACCAUGCAACAUAUUUCUCAGGAGCUAUCAAUUCAGACUCAGAGGCCAUCUUUGCAGAUACAAUACCACAAUAUUACAAUAGGAGAGCUGCUUGGUUACUAAAAUCACGAAUCUUCCAACAGUCUGAAAUUUUAAUCAUCUUUGUAACUGCACGAACAUAUAAUAAAUGGUCUUGUUGAUCAAGUUACCUUUGCUCAAGUAAUAUUCUAGGCCCUAUAGUUCAGUAGAAGUAUGCACCUAUUUGGAAACAAGGAAAAUUGUUCCGUGAAAUUUUGUUUGGAUCACCUUUCCCGAUAUUAUCUCUAGUUUGAGCCAU
rnacentral:misc_RNA from 1 species